GCGAAGCCUGCCCCAAGAUGAGUCUUCCUUACAGGGACGCCGCAGAAUACGGCGUCGAUAGGCCGCAGGUGCAAGGACGGAGACGUCUUCAGCCGAGCGGUACUAAUUGCCCGAAAGCUUUCUUUG
rnacentral:rRNA from 1 species